rnacentral:rRNA from 1 species
CCUACGGGGGGCAGCAGUGAGGAAUAUUGGUCAAUGGACGCAAGUCUGAACCAGCCAUGCCGCGUGCAGGAAGACGGCUCUAUGAGUUGUAAACUGCUUUUGUACGAGGGUAAACGCAGAUACGCGUAUCUGUCUGAAAGUAUCGUACGAAUAAGGAUAGGCUAACUCCGUGCCAGCAGCCGCGGUAAUACGGAGGAUUCAAGCGUUAUCCGGAUUUAUUGGGUUUAAAGGGUGCGUAGGCGGUCGGGUAAGUUCGAGGUGAAAUCCCGAGGCUCAACUUCGGAAUUGCCUCUGAUACUGUUCGGCGAGAGAGUAGUUGCGGUAGGCGGAAUGUAUGGUGUAGCGGUGAAAUGCUUAGAGAUCAUACAGAACACCGAUUGCGAAGGCAGCUUACCAAGCUACUUCUGACGUUGAGGCACGAAAGCGUGGGGAGCAAACAGGAUUAGAUACCCCUGUAGUC